GAAAAUUACAAAAAGUGACUAUUGUCAACCUUGGCUUUGCCAAAUCCCUACAGUAGCAGAGCUCCCUGCACCCCGGCUGGGUACCUCCACCAAGGAUCACUUCCUAGCUGGAACCGGGAAAAAAAACCUCAUUGCUUCUGCCCCAGUCGCCGUAGCUUGACUAGGAUCCUCCUGGAGCCUCUUCGUCCUGGGACAGGAUAGGGGACUAGCUCUAUU